UGCAUACUCCCUCCGUCCGGAAAAGCUUGUCCCUCAAAUGGAUGUAUCUAGCAAGAUACAUCCAUUUGAGGGACAAGCUUUUUUGGACGGAGGGAGUACAUG
rfam:Triticum urartu cultivar G1812 contig343282, whole genome shotgun sequence.